rnacentral:rRNA from 1 species
UUGGAGGGCAAGUCUGGUGCCAGCAGCCGCGGUAAUUCCAGCUCCAAUAGCGUAUAUUAAAGUUGUUGCAGUUAAAAAGCUCGUAGUUGAAUUUCGGGGUCAGUAGGUUGGUCAUGUCACAGGUAUGUACUGAUCUUACUGAUUCCUCCUUCCUGAUGAACCGUAAUGCCAUUAAUUUGGUGUUGCGGGGAAACUGGACUGUUACUUUGAAAAAAUUAGAGUGUUUAAAGCAGGCUAACGCUUGAAUACAUUAGCAUGGAAUAAUGAAAUAGGACGUUCGAUCCUAUUUUGUUGGUUUCUAGGAUUGACGUAAUGAUUAAUAGGGAUAGCUGGGGGCAUUAGUAUUCAAUUGUCAGAGGUGAAAUUCUUGGAUUUAUUGAAGACUAACUACUGCGAAAGCAUUUGCCAAGGAUGUUUUCAUUAAUCAAGAACGAAAGUUAGGGGAUCGAAGACGAUCAGAUACCGUCGUAGUCUUAACCAUAAACUAUGCCGACUAGGGAUCGGAUGAUGUUAAUUUUUUAAUGACUCAUUCGGCGCCUUACGGGAAAC